GUGGAUCUGCCCUCGCACUCUUGGGAUAAGCCUGGGAAACUGGGUCUAAUACCGGAUAGGACCAUGCUUUAGUGUGUGUGGUGGAAAGUUUUUUCGGUGUAGGAUGAGCCCGCGGCCUAUCAGCUUGUUGGUGGGGUAAUGGCCUACCAAGGCGGCGACGGGUAGCCGGACUGAGAGGUUGGUCGGCCACAUUGGGACUGAGAUACGGCCCAG
rnacentral:rRNA from 1 species